rnacentral:rRNA from 1 species
GUGGGGAAUAUUGGACAAUGGGCGAAAGCCUGAUCCAGCCAUGCCGCGUGUGUGAAGAAGGUCUUCGGAUUGUAAAGCACUUUAAGUUGGGAGGAAGGGCAGUAAGUUAAUACCUUGCUGUUUUGACGUUACCGACAGAAUAAGCACCGGCUAACUUCGUGCCAGCAGCCGCGGUAAUACGAAGGGUGCAAGCGUUAAUCGGAAUUACUGGGUGUAAAGCGCGCGUAGGUGGUUUUGUAAGUUGGAGGUGAAAUCCCCGGGCUCAACCUGGGAACUGCCUCCAAAACUGCAUGACUAGAGUACGGUAGAGGGUAGUGGAAUUUCCUGUGUAGCGGUGAAAUGCGUAGAUAUAGGAAGGAACACCAGUGGCGAAGGCGACUACCUGGACUGAUACUGACACUGAGGUGCGAAAGCGUGGGGAGCAAACAGGAUUAGAAACCCGAGUAGUCC